rnacentral:rRNA from 1 species
CAAGUCUGGUGCCAGCAGCCGCGGUAAUUCCAGCUCCAAUAGCGUAUAUUAAAGUUGUUGCAGUUAAAAAGCUCGUAGUUGAAUUUCGAGAUCGGCUUACUGGUCGUGCUUUUGUACGCACUGGUAUAAUCGGUUUCUCCUUUCUGACGAACUUUAAUGCCAUUAAUUUGGUGUUUUAGGGAAUCAGGACUGUUACUUUGAAAAAAUUAGAGUGUUUAAAGCAGGCUCACGCUUGAAUACAUUAGCAUGGAAUAACGGAAUAGGACGUUUGAUUCUAUUUUGUUGGUUUCUAGGGAUCGACGUAAUGAUUAAUAGGGAUAGUUGGGGGUAUUAGUAUUCAAUUGUCAGAGGUGAAAUUCUUGGAUUUAUUGAAGACUAACUACUGCGAAAGCAUUUGCCAAGGAUGUUUUCAUUAAUCAAGAACGAAAGUUAGGGGGAUCGAAGACGAUCAGAUACCGUCGUAGUCUUAACCAUAAACUAUGCCGACUAGGGAUCGGAUGAUGUUAAUUUUUUAAUGACUCAUUCGGCGCCUUACG